UUUUCCUACGGGGCGCAGCAGUGGGGAAUAUUGCACAAUGGGCGAAAGCCUGAUGCAGCAACGCCGCGUGAAGGAAGACGGUUUCCGGAUUGUAAACUUCUAUCAAUAGGGAAGAAAGAAAUGACGGUACCUAAAUAAGAAGCCCCGGCUAACUACGUGCCAGCAGCCGCGGUAAUACGUAGGGGGCAAGCGUUAUCCGGAUUUACUGGGUGUAAAGGGAGCGUAGACGGCAGGGCAAGUCUGGAGUGAAAGGCAGGGGCCCAACCCCUGGACUGCUCUAGAAACUGUCCGGCUGGAGUGCAGGG
rnacentral:rRNA from 1 species